AUUGAACGCUGGCGGCAGGCCUAACACAUGCAAGUCGAGCGAGCGGCGGACGGGUGAGUAAUGUCUGGGAAACUGCCUGAUGGAGGGGGAUAACUACUGGAAACGGUAGCUAAUACCGCAUACCAUCGGAUGUGCCCAGAUGGGAUUAGGUAGUAGGUGGGGUAACGGCUCACCUAGGCGACGAUCCCUAGCUGGUCUGAGAGGAUGACCAGAAACACUGGAACUGAGACACGGUCCAGAGUCCUACGGAGGGCAGCAGUGGGGAAUAUGGCACAAUGGGCGCAAGCCUGAUGCAGCCAUGCCGCGUGUAUGAAGAAGGCAUUCGGGUUGUAAAGUACGUUCAGCGGGGAGGCGUUACCCGCAGAAGAAGCACCGGCUAACUCCGUGCCAGCCGCCGCGGUAAUAC
rnacentral:rRNA from 1 species